rnacentral:rRNA from 1 species
CCCAGACUCCUACGGGAGGCAGCAGUGGGGGAUAUUGCACAAUGGGGGGAACCCUGAUGCAGCGACGCCGCGUGGGUGAAGGAGCGUUUCGGCGCGUAAAGCCCUAUCGGCAGGGAAGAAGGAGGACGGUACCUGACUAAGAAGCCCCGGCUAACUACGUGCCAGCAGCCGCGGUAAUACGUAGGGGGCAAGCGUUAUCCGGAUUUACUGGGUGUAAAGGGGGCGCAGACGGCAGCGCAAGCCAGGAGUGAAAGCCCGGGGCCCAACCCCGGGACUGCUCUUGGAACUGCGCGGCUGGAGUGCAGGAGGGGCAGGCGGAAUUCCUGGUGUAGCGGUGAAAUGCGUAGAUAUCAGGAGGAACACCGGUGGCGAAGGCGGCCUGCUGGACUGCGACUGACGUUGAGGCCCGAAAGCGUGGGGAGCAAACAGGAUUAGAUACCCGCGUAAC